UUCAUCAGAGAUGUCGGGCUCGCGCGGAUCUCGCGGGAGCGGCGGGCGGUAUAUAAGGGCCGCGGAGGCGCCGCCCGCCCUCUUUCCCCGCCGCCCUGCGGUAAGGCGCUCCGGCCCGAGGUCCCACCAGCUGUCACGAUGCCCUCCGGGGCUCUGCCCGCCGGCCUGCCCAGCUGUCGCUCCCCGAUGGCCGUGCUGGGGCUGGAGCCGCGUGCCGAUGCCGGAGUCACUUAGUGAUUUCAUGAUUGAAGCCGGCUAGAAAUGGGUGAUCACACCUAAACUGAAAGCAGUCCUCAGGACUCCUUAGGAAUGAAUAAUACCUUCUAUUAAGAAGUUCUCAAGCAUGUUGAUACUCCUUGACUGCCUAGAAUAUGCCUCAUGAGAUAGAGAUAAACAAUAUGGAGUCAAAAGAGUUGCUUGUAAAUUGAUUGGUCUCUGAGAGUGAAAACCAGCAAGGGAUGUGCAAGGCAUCAGACCUGAUCUGCUGAGUUGAUGAUUACAGACUUCACACAAGAUCACUCAGUUGUCCUAUGUAACAUUUUGAACUGAAACAGUGACUCAGACUGUUACAUCUUCAGUGCUCAUGUUUAAACAAUCUAGCCAUUGGUUGCAACAGAAGUUUCUUAAAAGCUGUGGCAAUUUCUGUAUGGAUUGAUUGAAAUAAAGUUAAUACCAGAAGUUUGUGUUGUGAAGUUCUC